GAUGCGCCACCCUGCUUGUGGCCUCUUGUAGCUGGAGUGGCCCAGCCAGAGCCCCAGGCAGGGCUUGAAGUCGUGGUCAGACAAGCUCUUGUCACGGGCUGGCAGCAGAGAUGCCCCCUGCCCAGGGCAGCACAGCAGAGGUCUCGAGGUGGCAUUUGGUGGCCAGCCUCUGGGGCCAGCCUCAGUGCUUAUCCUGAGAGCCGCUGGAACCAGGGCAGGCCUCCUGCCUCCUUCCCCAGGGGGCAGCUGCCGGGCACGGGGUCAGGUGGGGCUGCGGAGGCCGCGGUGGGCGUGCGAGUCGAGGUUCCUGUGCUGCCGGCUGGGCUGAGGAGCGGGGGGCCUGGGGCCUGGGGGAGGCGAGGAGUGGCCGGGUGUGAUGGUGGGGAGGCUUGGAGUGGGGCCUCAUGGCGGAAGGUGGCAGGACCCAGCCCCCUCCCCGGCCUGCAAAUGACCCAGGGGACUGCAGCCGGGGCGUCUCGGCCUGCUUUGCUCUUCCUUUCCUCCAGGUCGCCUGUUCUGAUCCGAUCUGGCCCACGCCCUCUAGCGAGGGCGCUCCCCACCCGGGGCAGUGGCAGCCUUCCUGUGGGGACAGGCCCCGGCCCAUCCCUCCUGCGGAGCCACCUGCACUGGCCGCUGCGCAGACCCCGGUCACUGCGGCCUCUGUGCCAGGGCUGAGGACAGGUGCCCAGGUUCUGGGUGUAGCUGCCCUGGUUAAAGCUCCGCUCGUGCUUCCCACGGUGACCGUUCUGCUCGGCUCUGGGAGCAGUGGCCAGACCUGAUUUGUUGGACCCCUGGGUCGGGCCUCUGGCCCAGGACUCCGUGACAGAGGCAGCACACGCACCCGGGUUGCCAACGUGGAAAGCCUUCUGGAAAUAUGCUCAGAGAUCCCCAGUCCCUCCUCCAGAGUGAUUCACUCCUGGGUGGCGCCAGGACCGGUCACCCACCACCCUGGGCAGAGGGCCAUUUCCACGCCUCUGCUGAGCAUGAGAACUAGUUGUCCUGUGUGGCCUCCCACCACCUGCUCAGGCCUCUUCCUCCUCCUCAGUGUGGUGUGGCCAUUUGACCGAGUUCUAAGUGAGCUGAACUGGUGGUGUGUGGAGCUUCCCAGAAGUGCCCUUAAAGAGAGGGGCUAUGGCCUUCCAAAUCCCCUUCUUCCCUUCUGCUGGAAUGCAAGCAUGAAAGCUGGAGCACAGGCAGCACUGUUGGAUAAGGAGGAGGUGAACCAACGAGAAGGAGCCUGGCUCCCUAAGGACCACAGAGCCGCCCUCGAAGGCCACAGCAGGACUGAGCUGUGCAGGAGAAGUGCAGUUCUUUUAUUGAAGACACUGCCUCUUGCAGAUUUCAGACGCUUGCCACAAAGUCUCCCCUGCAGUGAAUGUAAAAAUAACGAUGGCUGUCAUGAAAAAGUGGCGUUCUGGAGCCCUCAGGGGCAGCUUCCUCGUCAGAGGACAGAGCAGGUCAUCCACCCAGGUGGAUUUCCUCAGUUUGUUCUGAGGGACCAGCGGGGAACGGAAAGCAAAGAUGUCCUCACCGUGUGGCUCAAGGUGACAGCGCCAAGCUGCUCACCGCACUGCGGCACUGCGCCUGGCGUCCCCGCUCCCAGGCCCUGCUGCCCGCCUCUACCUCCGGCCCCAGCCACCAGUCUCCCUGGGGCAGUAACGAGCAUCCAGCGUCCACCAGCAGAUGGUGUUUGUCACCGCGCUCAGCCUCUGGGACUCCGUGACCGGCUUCUCUCUCUGCUCCUCGGCAUCUCGCAGCCUCCCUAUGGGCCCUCGCCCUGGCCGAGCGCCACGGUCAGCUGGCCGGGGGACCGGGCGUGUGAGCGCCUCAGCUGCCCGCCGUCCUCCUCCCUGUGAAGUGGGGGCACGAGCGCCUUCCUCCAGGGAGUCCACUGCGUCCUGAGCUUCACAGCCACCAAGCCCCUGGGACACCUCGGCCUGACUUCCUUGUGGACUGGCCACCCGUGGAUUCACCUUCUGUUUCCACACCCCAGCAAGGAGCUGGGCCCAGCUGGGCUCAGGAAACCGAUCGCGGGAGGUGACGGGGUGACAGCGAGACAAAUGACGGGCACCCCCUGCGCCCCGAGCCACACCGUGUUCUCGGGGUGUGCAGGCUCAGGGUGGGGGACCUGGGACCAGGCUCCUGCGGCCCUGCAGCUGCCCAGCUGCUUCCUGAUGCUGGCGUCCUGGGGACGGGCCACACGAGGCACCAGGCCUCCUGAUU